rnacentral:sRNA from 1 species
AUUAAACGAGGUUCGAUUAAGAUCGCUGCAUCGUGCAGCAACAUCGAACCAACCCACGUCGUGUAGG